GCGAUACAGGGUGACAGCCCCGUACACAAAAAUGCACAUGCUGUGAGCUCGAUGAGUAGGGCGGGACACGUGGUAUCCUGUCUGAAUAUGGGGGGACCAUCCUCCAAGGCUAAAUACUCCUGACUGACCGAUAGUGAACCAGUACCGUGAGGGAAAGGCGAAAAGAACCCCGGCGAGGGGAGUGAAAAAGAACCUGAAACCGUGUACGUACAAGCAGUGGGAGCACAGAGCAAUCUGUGUGACUGCGUACCUUUUGUAUAAUGGGUCAGCGACUUAUAUUCUGUAGCAAGGUUAACCGAAUAGGGGAGCCGAAGGGAAACCGAGUCUUAACUGGGCGUUAAGUUGCAGGGUAUAGACCCGAAACCCGGUGAUCUAGCCAUGGGCAGGUUGAAGGUUGGGUAACACUAACUGGAGGACCGAACCGACUAAUGUUGAAAAAUUAGCGGAUGACUUGUGGCUGGGGGUGAAAGGCCAAUCAAACCGGGAGAUAGCUGGUUCUCCCCGAAAGCUAUUUAGGUAGCGCCUCGUGAAUUCAUCUCCGGGGGUAGAGCACUGUUUCGGCAAGGGGGUCAUCCCGACUUACCAACCCGAUGCAAACUGCGAAUACCGGAGAAUGUUAUCACGGGAGACACACGGCGGGUGCUAACGUCCGUCGUGAAGAGGGAAACAACCCAGACCGCCAGCUAAGGUCCCAAAGUCAUGGUUAAGUGGGAAACGAUGUGGGAAGGCCCAGACAGCCAGGAUGUUGGCUUAGAAGCAGCCAUCAUUUAAAGAAAGCGUAAUAGCUCACUGGUCGAGUCGGCCUGCGCGGAAGAUGUAACGGGGCUAAACCAUGCACCGAAGCUGCGGCAGCGACACUGUGUGUUGUUGGGUAGGGGAGCGU
rnacentral:rRNA from 1 species